AGUGUUCUCAGCCACUGAGCCACCUCCCUAGCCUUCAUACCCAGCUUUUAAAAUGUGGGUUCUGGGGAUCAUAUUCUGGUCUUCAUGCUUGCAUGAUAAGCACUUUACUGCCUGGAACAUCUCCCCAGUCCAGAACUGGCCUUCUGAGGGGAGAGCCAACCACACUUGGGAGCUCUCUACACACCUCCAGGGACAGGCUGACCCAGAGAGAGUGUGGAGCUGAAGUGCAAGCUCUCCUGACCACAGCCCACAUUGACCAUCUGUAUGUAGGGAGAGCAAUUCUAUUCGAAGCACCAAACAUCAUUGUGAGCUAUGGCAUCCACAGCAUCUCUCGAUGCAGAGGCAAGUGUAGGACAGGACACUGUGCUAGAGAGGGAAAAGCAGCCCCCUCCUGUUUUUACUCCUGAAAAGAAAAGACCCUGCCUUGGAAAAGGUGGGGGAGAUAAUGGCUCAGAACAGAAUAACCCGCUGAUGGAAAAAAUUGGCUCUGUGUACUGGGAGGGAAUUCAGGGAGAGGGAACAGACUGACAGGACUGUGGCAGCUCAAGGCAGUCCAAGGGGAACAGCAGGCAAGGCUGACUGGAGUGGGCAACAUGCUCUCUACCCCCAAACCCCUGAGAAGUUCGGCCGCAAUUUGAAAGGUCACAAUCUUCUCAUUCAAUUGCAGGGCUCCUUCAGGAGGCUUUUGUCCUCCACAUGCAGGCCAGUGGUGCAAAGGCCUGCCCAGCCCUGGGAGGCUGGCUUUUGAUUCAUUCUGUAAUCACAGCCACUGAAAUUGGAAUUCCAACGCUGGUAUUGUGUGGCUGGGUAGCCUGAUUGACGGGGCUGCCAAGCGGCUGGCCCUGCAGAAGGGCCAGGAGUCACUCUACAUCAAUCCCGUUGUUUGUGCAGCUUUGUGCGCCCCUGGGGGGCCGUUUCUAGCUGGCAAUGGUUAUUUAUGUCUCUUCUUUAAAUACGUCCCUCUCUAAGCGCUCUGAUAAUUGGAGCAACGGGGCCCCACAAAUCCAUGUGAAAUCGCCUGCCAGCUCCACACACGGUGGUCCCCAGGGUGGGAGAGAGAGGCCCACUCCAUGCUGAUGCCAUAAAGGGAGAAAGUGGGGCCUGGUGUAAGCCUGGGCUCAUGACCCACUGGCAUACAAAAAUGGAGGCCCCAUCACUGACCUCACACGGCUCCUCAAGACUAUACCGCCUUCCAGAAGAGGCCAGGCCGAUGACUUCAUACCAAGAAAGGCUACCAGAAAACAGUGCUGGAGAUCGACACGCCCAAAGUGGAGCAAGUCCCCAUUGUGGAUAUCAUGUUCAACGACUUUGGUGAAGCCUCACAGAAAUUUGGAUUUGAAGUGGGGCCGGCUUGCUUCCUAGGUUAGGAGCUGCUGAGCCCACCGGUCUUCAGAGCAACCUCGUGACCUCAGCACCCCACCUGUGGGUGUCCUGUGCACGGCCCAUCCUGGACAGUGAACAUUUCUCACCCCUGCCUGCCUGACUCAUCUGUGCCUCGGACCCUCCGUGGCAUUGGACCCCACACCAAUGAGAACAAAGGGAAAGAGCCGUGUUCCCACGGAGCCGAAUCACAUGACCUAGCCACACCACAGCCUCUUGCCACACUGCAGGCCCUGGUCCCCAGCUCUCCUAAUAGGUUCAUCAAAGGUGUUCGUGAACUGUUGGCCGGGAGUCAGGGUGGGGCAGUAUUUGGAAAUCACUUUAAAAAAACCAACUUGAAAAUAUGUAUUCCCCUUGACCUUCAAAAGAUGUUCUAAGGUGGUCUUGUAAAGGUCGCCAAAGCCUUCUCUUUUUUUGUUUUUAAACAACCCUCAAUACAUCCACUCAGAGGCCAAAUGUCAUUCCACGUGUGCCUUUCCGAUGGAUUAAAGGUGCUUAUGUUUUUGUGAGAGUUUUAAGUAAAUAUUUGUAUUGUAUUGUUAUAAAUGUUAAGUGUGCCUGGCUUUCAAUCUUGCAUGGAAACCCAGCCUCAGGCCCAUGGGGAGAGCAAGCAGCUGGGACGGGGCACCAGCUUGGGCUUGCAAUCAGGCUCUCCAUAGAGGGCAUCUCCUCACUAUCACCCUGCCCCCAAGAACGUGCAAUAAAUUGGAAAUUUGCUUAGUCAGCAAGAAGCUGCAUUGCCACUGCAGGUGCCUGGGCCCCUUUCCAGACUUUUAAUUAUUUUUUUUCUUUUUGAUUAGCUCUGGAUAAUUUUUUAUGGGGAGGGAAAAAAGGCAUUUGAGAUCCUGCCUUUUCUACAUGCACUCAGAUUAAAACACAGGCUUAAAUUAA